rnacentral:rRNA from 1 species
UGAGGUAACGGCUCACCAAGGCAACGAUGGGUAGGGGAACUGAGGAGGUUUUAUCCCCCACCACUGGUACUGAGACCACGGACCAGACUCCUACGGGAGGCAGCAGUGAGGAAUAUUGGUCAAUGGGCGAGAGCCUGAACCAGCCAAGUCGCGUGAAGGAUGACUGUCCUAAGGAUUGUAAACUUCUUUUAUACGGGAAUAACGGGCGAUACGUGUAUUGCUGUGAAUGUACCGUAAGAAUAAGCAUCGGCUAACUCCGUGCCAGCAGCCGCGGUAAUACGGAGGAUGCGAGCGUUAUCCGGAUUUAUUGGGUUUAAAGGGUGCGUAGGUUGUUCGGUAAGUCAGCGGUGAAAACUGAGCGCUCAACGUUCAGCGUGCCGUUGAAACUGCCGGGCUUGAGUUCAGUGGCGGCAGGCGGAAUUCGUGGUGUAGCGGUGAAAUGCAUAGAUAUCACGAGGAACUCCGAUUGCGAAGGCAGCUUGCCAUACUGCGACUGACACUGAAGCACGAAGGCGUGGGUAUCAAACAGGAUUAGAUACCCUGGUAGUCCACGCAGUAAACGAUGAUUACUAGGAGUUUGCGAUAUACCGUCAAGCUUCCACAGCGAAAGCGUUAAGUAAUCCACCUGGGGAGUACGCCGGCAACGGUGAAACUCAAAGGAAUUGACGGGGGCCCGCACAAGCGGAGGAACAUGUGGUUUAAUUCGAUGAUACGCGAGGAACCUUACCCGGGAUUGAAAUGUAGACGACGGAUGGUGAAAGCCGUCUUCCCUUCGGGGCGUCUAUGUAGGUGCUGCAUGGUUGUCGUCAGCUCGUGCCGUGAGGUGUCGGCUUAAGUGCCAUAACGAGCGCAACCCACAUCGGUAGUUGCUAACAGGUUUAGCUGAGGACUCUACCGAGACUGCCGUCGUAAGGCGUGAGGAAGGUGUGGAUGACGUCAAAUCAGCACGGCCCUUACAUCCGGGGCGACACACGUGUUACAAUGGGAGGGACAAAGGGCAGCUACCGGGCGACCGGAUGCGAAUCUCGAAACCCUUCCCCAGUUCGGAUCGGAGUCUGCAACUCGACUCCGUGAAGCUGGAUUCGCUAGUAAUCGCGCAUCAGCCAUGGCGCGGUGAAUACGUUCCCGGGCCUUGUACACACCGCCCGUCAAGCCAUGGGAGUCGGGGGUACCUGAAGGGCGUAACCG